rnacentral:rRNA from 1 species
CGACUCUCGGCAACGGAUAUCUCGGCUCUCGCAUCGAUGAAGAACGCAGCAAAAUGCGAUACUUGGUGUGAAUUGCAGAAUCCCGUGAACCAUCGAGUUUUUGAACGCAAGUUGCGCCCGAAGCCUUAAUGCUGAGGGCACGUCUGCCUGGGCGUCACGC